AUCUGGGCGGCGGAAUUCAGGAUGGCGGGCGCGUCUUCGCGGCGCGUUCGUCGUUUGAUAUUUCCGUCGCCGACUCAACCCGCAGACGUCGCGACCUGUUCGCGGUCGGUCCUUGCUCGGAGGAGUCACGUUCGAGUUUGUUGCGUGCGCGUUUCUGCGCGUUACGCGGCAAAGGCGUGAAUCUCUGGCUGGCCGUCGGACAGUACGCUUAACGGUGUCCGGUGUCGUCGUCUCGUACGCGCGCGCACCGGUACCGGUCGGCGACGAAUUCUUCGGGCCUCUUUCCGACCCGUCUUGAAACACGGACCAAGGAGUCUAACAUGCGCGCGAGUCGCGGGGUGUCGAGCGCAUCACGGUGCGUUCGUUACGUUGCGAAACCCGUACAUGUUGAAGGCGUAAUGAAAGUAAAUGGGGAAGAUGGUGUUCCGAGUACACGUUCCGCGGUCAUUGGUACCGCGGCCGGACACCCGCAUUCCCGGGGCGUCUCAACGGCCCGUCGCGGAUGCGGGCAGUCGUCUCUCGGGGCGGCUGUCGGUCUGCGACGAACCGA
rnacentral:rRNA from 1 species